rnacentral:rRNA from 1 species
GACGAACGCUGGCGGCGUGCCUAAUACAUGCAAGUAGAACGCUGAAGGAGGAGCUUGCUUCUCUGGAUGAGUUGCGAACGGGUGAGUAACGCGUAGGUAACCUGCCUGGUAGCGGGGGAUAACUAUUGGAAACGAUAGCUAAUACCGCAUAAUAUUGACUAUUGCAUGAUAGUCAGUUGAAAGGUGCAACUGCACCACUACCAGAUGGACCUGCGUUGUAUUAGCUAGUUGGUGGGGUAACGGCUCACCAAGGCGACGAUACAUAGCCGACCUGAGAGGGUGAGCUGCCGCGCUGGGACUGGGACACGCCCCAGACUCCUACGGGAGGCAGCAGUAGGGAAUCAUCGGCGAUGGACGGAAGUCCGAUCGGGCAACGCCGCGCGAGAGAAGAAUGUGUUCGGAUCGUAAAGCUCUGUUGUAGGUGAAGAGCGAGUGGGGGAGUGGAAAGCUCACACUGGUACGGUAUCUUACCAGAAAGGGACGGCUAACUACGUG